UCAAACCUUUAAUGCGUGAUAGUUUAUACUUGUAAACUAUGCUUUAAGCGAAUUGUUUCUGAAAAUUAUCUAGUUCUUCUCAUAAUACCUUUGAAUUGAAUGUGUGAAAUUCGAAACUAAGACAAAAAGUGAGUUGGGUAUUACUCUAUUACUCGUUUGAUAACAAAAUGAAACAACGGUUAUUGAUGGGAAGAUAAAAAUGUUGAUUUGUUCGCUCGUAAAAAGCUUCAUACCCAACCUUUCAAAUUGUUCGAUUUUGGCUUAUUUGAAUUUGGGGACCUUAACCUUGUUUGCUGACCUCAUGGGAUUAAUUUCCAAGUUGGAGUUCAGAAAUUAUAAUUUGUUUCUACUAUGUAGGUUCAAGUUUAUUUGUACUUCCAUUUCAAUUGCACUGUAGCCCUUUUUUUUUUUUUUUGAGCCUAAUAGUUCUGAGCAGUGAGCACAUUGUUGCUCAAGCUUGGCUUUAUGAUACAAGUAAAUAUGUGCAUGUCAUUCGAUUUGUAUUAUUUAGUUGAUGUGUUAGUGGGUGGCAGAGUUGGUUGACUAUAAAUGGGAAUGUGGGUGUCCAAUAACCAACCUUCGAUCAUUUUGGAAUAGAUAUUUUCAGAGAUUCUCUCUAGAUCUCAAUUGAGACUUUCUCUCUCUAUGAUUUCUCCUCUCUUUGAUUUUGAUUCCAUCAUUUUUGUAUCAGAGCUAGGGACUGAUUCCUAAUCUUUUCUGGAUUUGAGUGUGAUUCAUCAAUAGUAGAAAAAAUUUCGUUUCAAUUUACAAUUGAUUUCGAACUGAUAUGUGGCCAACCGUAAUUGUUGCCUCCACUGUGUGACAUAGCUUGACUUCAAGUUGUGAUAGCUUUCGAAGAAUGAGAUUCAAGUUGCAGGAGUGUCAACUAGGUUGUUCGAAUCUGGAUGGCGUGGGGUUACACUAAGUGGGGAUGGGGCGGGUGUCGGGGAGGGGUAUAGGGGUGAUGUUCAUAAAUGGGGGUGGGUAAGGGUCCCUUGACCUAUCCCUGCCUUGUUGCCGUCAUUAGUCAACGUCUUUGUGUUAUAUCGUGUACAUGUGCUAUGUAUGUGCCUUUGCUACAUAGCAUAUGGGUAAUGAAGUUGAUGAUAGUGCUUGAUUGUUGUGGAUGGUGAAGAGAUGGUGUGGUUGAGGGAGGCACUUUAGGAAGAUGGUAGACAUUGACAUGGUUGGCGAUCACCGGAGGCGGAGGACAUGCAACCCUUGGAGAGAGAGAAGGUGGUAGCGGAGAGCUUGAUGCUUUGCUUGAGAGAUAGGAGAGGUUGAGACGCUAAUUGCAUGCAUGGAGGAGGCUCCCUAAUAUAAGGUGGCCAAACCUUGGUUGCCAACAUAGCUUAGGACAGAUGGCUCCACACCUUAAUUCAACAAUAUGGAUGUUGUUACACGGUCUUGGGUAGAGCUCAACCUCAAAAGCUAGCCCAAGAGGCCAAGGACACACAUCCUACCCAAUCUUUGAAUUCUCAGGCUUUGAUACCAUGCUACACGGUCUUGGGGUAGAACUCAACCCCAAAAUCUAACUCAAAAGAUGUAUCUUGGCUACCUUUUCAUUUGAGGCCAAACCUUGAGGAAUGUAUGAUGGAGUUGACAAUAGGUAAGUAUGAUAUAUCUUUCAAGAUGUCAUAGAAGCUUAGUGUUAGGUAUGAUGAAGGUUUUAAAUAACUGUGGCGGACACUGUAACGGUAAUUGUAGUGUUAAUGCGGUUGCGCAAUGUAACGGCUGUAGCGUAACAGUGGCGGCAACCAGAAUCGUGAAUUUUUUUUUAUUUCUUCGCGCAACUUUAGGAAAACAUACCAAUAUGCAUGUUUUUAUUUCAAAAUCACAUUUAGUGAAGUUCAAAAUAAUUUUGGUAUGUUUUUCUUAGUUUUUAAACAUGAUCCAAUAUAUGUACUAAUUUUUAUAUUAGUUUUAAGUCAUUGUGGAGAUUUUUCCUAUUGUUGGAUUAUUUAAUUUUCUUUGCUAUACUAAUUAUGUACUUGUGGAUAACUUCCAACUUGUUAAGGAAAAAAACAAAAUAUGUUUAAAAUUAAAAAUAAUAGUCUCAUAAACAUAAGUUCAAAAUACAAAAUAUGAAUAUAAUAAAGUAAAAGUACAUAACAUGAAAUCUAAAUUUUGUUCAAUAAACUUAACGUAAGAGGAAAUAGAUCUAAGUUAAUAUCUAAAGAAUUAAGUGAAAAAGUAAUGAAAGCUUGUCAAUAAUAAAAAUAAAAAAUAUAAAGUAAUGAAAGUUUGAAAAGAGAGAGAGAAGUAAGCUCAUUUAAUUAAUCUUGGUAGCAACUCGAGUCUUGUAGAACUUGAAGAUUGGACAUUCAAAAACAUGUAGAGUUGAGAUUUUUACUUAAGUUUUGUGCAUUUUUGUGUGAUUUUAACAACUAGAAAAUAAAAAAGAGAAAAUAACCUUACAUAAAAAAUAAGUGUAGUGGUGGUAACAACCGUAACAGUGCUGUAGCGGCAAUGUAACGGCCAUUAUGGCCUUUAUGUAACGGUGGUGGACAUUACAGUUGUAAAUUUUUGUCACACUGCUAUAGCGGUCGUAGCGGGUGGUGGUAACUACUACAACCUUGAGGCCACUUUUUAAAACCAUGGGUAUAAUUCAACCUUCGAGGUGUCACAUGCCUUUGUAAAUGCCUAGUGUCUUUGUAAGAUUGGCCUAGACAUGUUCUACCUUCAGGAAAGAGUUGGUGAGGCACUAAGACGAACCCUUAGACUCUAGCCUCUAGGCCACAAGUCCUCUAUUGAUCUCUAGCAAGAUGCCUAGUCCUUGCUCCCAACCUAUGUAGCCAAGGAUGGAGCCAUGGUAUUUUUCCAAAGGAGGCAAAAUCUGAACCAUACGUGAAAUGUUUUCCUAUUUGAUAGUAAAUAAAUUUUUUUUUAAAGGGUUAAUGUUUUUUCUUAUUUAAACCCUAAAUCUAUGCAUAUUAUUGUCCUCAAUGACAGUUAUGGAAUUUUUCAUAACUAUCUCAAUUACUGCUUGAAAAGUAAAAAUAAAAGAUAAAUUUACAUGACUAGCAAGAUUUUAAUUUGUAAACAAAUUUUCUUAAAAAGGGUGUUUGUUUGGUGGGAUAGAGCCAUGAGAUUGGACUCCAUGUCCAUUAGAAUAACUAGUCCAACAUUUAGUUAGAAAAGUGAAAGUCAGACUAAUAAUCUGGUCAGACUAACAGGUUGUGUGGGACAGAAAUGAGUGGAUUGAGCCAACCUCUAGAUUAGCUAGUUUAAUGACGAAAUUGAACCCCCAAGUACAUAACAUUUCUUUCUUUCAUUUUUUUUAAGAGUGCUACUAUCAGCCCCCACUUAAUACUUUGGACCCCCCAUUUGUUGGAAUCCCCACCUACAAAAUUCAAAAUCCUAACAAUUUCUAAGAACCUUCCAAAUAAUAAAAACCAAAAUUAUCCUUCUAAAAAUAUCACACCCACCAAAAUACACACCCCCCUUAGCACAUCACCUAAAAACUCCCAUCUCCCAAAACCCUUAUCAGUUGAACUCACCAAUCUUCCUCUCACUGUCGAGAGCUGAGCCGUUGAUCUUUGUCGUAGCCAGUCCUUCACUGUCGACCUCUCUCUGCCGUUGAUCUCUCCACCGCCAUGUUUGGACCUAUGUUGCCGAAGAAAUUACCUAUGUUCGGACUUGUGUUGUUGAGCAUUAUAAAAACGUAAAGUUAUCAGUCUAUGAACAAGUUUGACCCAUCAAAGUUUAACAAACAAAGAUAAGUAUGCAUAAACUAGUUUGAUUAACAAAUAAAACUAAAGUUUAUCGCAUAACCAAAACGUGAGUUUGGAUUAAGGUUACAUUCAAAGUGCCGAACAUAUGAAUAAUGUUCGGUUAGACGUUGCUAAACUAAUGCCUUUAAUUUGGCCACGUAUUACUAUUUUUUUGGCAUAUGUUUGGGAGUUCAGUUUUGAAAAAAAGUAGGACCGUUUUCACCAAAUUUUUGUUUUUUUUGAAAAAACUUAUCAUUACAAGGUCAACUUCCUCCGAGAUGCGAACAUCAUCCAAGUUGUGAACCUCCUCUGAGCUUACAUUGUGAUGCUCUAUUCGUCUCAUGGUAUUGGGGUUGCCGGAAAAACUCUCUCAUUGCCAUUACUGGAGAAGUGUAUACUGUUGAAUAGUUGUUGCCGUUGCCGUUGCCGCCAGAGGGUUUUGAAGGUUUUGAGGGUUUUGAAGUGUGUGGGUGGUGAUUAAGGUGGAUCCUCUCAUAAACCCUGUGUUAUGAUUUAGUGGGUGGAUAGAUUUAAUUAUGAGAUGGGGUGUCCCAAAAUAAUUCAUGUCCUUUUUAGUAAUUUUAUUUGAGGUUAUUAUUGUAAUAAAAGAAAAGAAUGACAUGGGGGGUCCAAAGUAUUAAUUGGUGUGGUAAUAACAACACUCUUUUUUAAGACAUGUUAACCAAAACAAACCAAACCAAGCCUUAAGUCCUAUCAAAUGGGGUCGGCUAUAUGAAUCCUUCUUCUUUACCCAACUCUAUCAAAGGCCAUUUGGUUAGUCAAUUUAACGAGAUUCAUAUCUCUAUUUAUUACACUAACUCACGUCAAUCUAGGUCUACUCCUUCCCCUAACACUUCUAUCUAAUCGUCACUGUAUCACAUCUCUUCACUCUUUUUAAACAUGCUGGAUUUUUUUAUUUAUUUUUUUAAACGUGUAAAUUAAUCUCGUUAUAAAUGA